AUUGAACGCUGGCGGCAGGCUUAACACAUGCAAGUCGAGCGGGGGAAGGUAGCUUGCUACCGGACCUAGCGGCGGACGGGUGAGUAAUGCUUAGGAAUCUGCCUAUUAGUGGGGGACAACAUCUCGAAAGGGAUGCUAAUACCGCAUACGUCCUACGGGAGAAAGCAGGGGAUCUUCGGACCUUGCGCUAAAAGAUAAGCUUGCGUUCUAUUAGCUAGUUGGUGAGGUAAUGGCUCACCAAGGCGAUGAUGGAUAGCCGGCCUGAGAGGGCGAACGGCCACAUUGGAACUUAGACACGGUCCAAACUCCUACGGGAGGCAGCAGUGAGGAAUAUUGCACAAUGGGCGCAAGCCUGAUGCAGCGACGCCGCGUGGAGGAUGACGGUCUUCGGAUUGUAAACUCCUGUUAAGUGUGAAAAAAGACUUGCUUUUAAUAGAAGCGAGGGAUGAUUGUAGCACUAGAGAAAGCACCGGCUAACUUCGUGCCAGCCGCCGCAGUAA
rnacentral:rRNA from 1 species